AAUAAGCGGAGGAAAAGAAACCAACAGGGAUUGCCCCAGUAACGGCGAGUGAAGCGGCAACAGCUCAAAUUUGAAAUCUGGCCCCUCGGGCCCGAGUUGUAAUUUGUAGAGGAUGCUUUUGGCAAGGUGCCGCCCGAGUUCCCUGGAACGGGACGCCGCAGAGGGUGAGAGCCCCGUCUGGCUGGCCACCGAGCCUCUGUAAAGCUCCUUCGACGAGUCGAGUAGUUUGGGAAUGCUGCUCAAAAUGGGAGGUAUAUGUCUUCUAAAGCUAAAUAUUGGCCAGAGACCGAUAGCGCACAAGUAGAGUGAUCGAAAGAUGAAAAGCACUUUGAAAAGAGGGUUAAACAGUACGUGAAAUUGUUGAAAGGGAAGCGCUCAUGACCAGACUUGGGCUUGGCGAAUCAUCCGGCGUUCUCGCCGGUGCACUUCGCCUCGCCCAGGCCAGCAUCAGUUCGCGCCGGGGGACAAAAGCUUCGGGAAUGUGGCUCCUCCGGGAGUGUUAUAGCCCGUUGCAUAAUACCCUGGUGCGGACUGAGGUUCGCGCAUCUGCAAGGAUGCUGGCGUAAUGGUCAUCAGCGACCCGUCUUGAACCACGGACCCA
rnacentral:rRNA from 1 species